rnacentral:rRNA from 1 species
AUGCGGAGGGAUCAUUACCGAGUUUACAACUCCCAAACCCCUGUGAACAUACCACUUGUUGCCUCGGCGGAUCAGCCCGCUCCCGGUAAAACGGGACGGCCCGCCAGAGGACCCCUAAACUCUGUUUCUAUAUGUAACUUCUGAGUAAAACCAUAAAUAAAUCAAAACUUUCAACAACGGAUCUCUUGGUUCUGGCAUCGAUGAAGAACGCAGCAAAAUGCGAUAAGUAAUGUGAAUUGCAGAAUUCAGUGAAUCAUCGAAUCUUUGAACGCACAUUGCGCCCGCCAGUAUUCUGGCGGGCAUGCCUGUUCGAGCGUCAUUUCAACCCUCAAGCCCUCGGGUUUGGUGUUGGGGAUCGGCGAGCCCUUGCGGCAAGCCGGCCCCGAAAUCUAGUGGCGGUCUCGCUGCAGCCUCCAUUGCGUAGUAGUAAAACCCUCGCAACUGGAACGCGGCGCGGCCAAGCCGUUAAACCCCCAACUUCUGAAUGUGACCUCGGAUCAGGUAGGAAUC